ACGAACGCUGGCGGCUGCUUAACACAUGCAAGUCGAACGGAGUGGCGAACGGGUGAGUAACGCGUGAGCCACCUGCCUAUGACAAUGGGAUAGCCUCGGGAAACCGGGAUUAAUACCGCAUAGUCAUAGAUGGGCUCGCGUCUGAUUAGCUACUUGGUGAGAUAACAGCCCACCAAGGCGACGAUCAGUAGCCGGUCUGAGAGGAUGAAUGGCCACAUUGGAACUGAGACACGGUCCAAACUCCUACGGGAGGCAGGAGUGGGGAAUAUUGCACAAUGGGGGAAACCCAGAUGCAGCGACGCCGGGUGAACGAAGAAGGUAUUCGUAUCGUAAAGUUCUGUCCUAUGGGAAGCAGUACCAUAGAAGAAAGCUCCGGCUAAAUACGGGCCAGCAGCCGCGGUAAUAC
rnacentral:rRNA from 1 species